rnacentral:rRNA from 1 species
AUUGAACGCUGGCGGCAUGCUUUACACAUGCAAGUCGAACGGUAACAGGCCUUCGGGCGCUGACGAGUGGCGAACGGGUGAGUAAUGCAUCGGAACGUGCCCAGAGGUGGGGGAUAACGCAGCGAAAGCUGUGCUAAUACCGCAUAUUAUCUGAGGAUGAAAGCGGGGGACUAAGCAGCAAUGUUUGGCCUCGCGCCUUUGGAGCGGCCGAUGUCAGAUUAGGUAGUUGGUGGGUAAAGGCCUACCAAGCCGACGAUCUGUAGCUGGUCUGAGAGGACGACCAGCCACACUGGAACUGAGACACGGUCCAGACUCCUACGGGAGGCAGCAGUGGGGAAUUUUGGACAAUGGACGCAAGUCUGAUCCAGCCAUUCCGCGUGCAGGAUGAAGGCCCUCGGAUUGUAAACUGCUUUUGUACGGAACGAAAAGGUUUCUAUUAAUACUAGGAGCUCAUGACGGUACCGUAAGAAUAAGCACCGGCUAACUACG